CCUACGGGUGGCAGCAGUAGGGAAUUUUGCGCAAUGGCCGAAAGCCUGACGCAGCAACGCCGCGUGAUCGAGACGCCCUUCGGGGUGUAAAGAUCUGUCAGUGGGGACGAAACUUGACGGUACCCACAGCGGACGUACCGGCUAACUCCGUGCCCGCAGCGGGGGUUAUACGGGGGGUGCAAGCGUUGUCCGGAAUCAUUGGGCGUAAAGGGUUCGUAUGGGGCCCGUAAAGGCCGGUGUUAAAGGCAGGGGCCUAACUUCUGUACGGAACUGGAUACUUGCGAGCUAGAAUGCGGGAGAGGUAAAGGGAAUGCGUGGUGUAGCGGUGAAAUGCUUAGAUAUCGGGAGGAACAUCGGUGGCGAAGGCACUAUACCGGGGCGUAGUUGACGCUGAGGAACGAAAGCCAGGGUAGCGAAUGGGAUUAGAUACCCUUGUAGUC
rnacentral:rRNA from 1 species